AUUGAACGCUGGCGGCAGGCCUAACACAUGCAAGUCGAACGAGCGGCGGACGGGUGUGUAAUGUCUGGGAAACUGCCUGAUGGAGGGGGAUAACUACUGGAAACGGUAACUAAUACAGCAUACCAUAGGGUGUGCCCCUAUGGGAUUAGCUAUCAGGUGGGGUAAAGGCUCACCUAGGCGACGAUCCCUAGCUGGUCUGAGAGGAUGACCAGGCAGACUGGAACUGUGCCACGGUCCAGAAUCCUACGAGAGGCAGCAGUGGGGAAUAUUGCACAAAGGGCGCAAGACUGAUGCAGCCAUGCCGCGUGUAUGAAGAAGGCCUGCGGGUUGGAAAGUACUUUCAGCGGGGAUGCGUUACCCGCAGAAUAAGCACCGGCUAACUCCGUGCCAGCAGCCGCGGUAAUAC
rnacentral:rRNA from 1 species